UUGGAAGCGCAGCCUGGAUCUGCCGAUUUGAGAAAAAAUAGUGUUCCUGGAAAAUAAUCAUAAGGAUAUGGCCAACCGGACAAAAUUCCAACCACUCGCAGGAAAUAAAUAUGGCAAUUUUUUCAGCAAUAAGAUAGGCUAUAAUGUUAUCUGCUAGAGAUUGUGCCCGACGUUGCAAAAAUUGUCAACUUCAACCUAUUAUUGUAAAAAAACAGCUUGAUGAUUUUGGCUGGAUGUUUGGUUGCUGGAUGAAGAUGCAAGAUUUUAGCCAUAACUUUCAAAAAUUUAUUCUAUGUUUUAUCCUAUAGUGAAACGAAACCCCACUAAGAAAGGCAGGUCCCAAAAGUGUCGAUUUAACCAUCUUUAAUAUGAUGAUCAAUUUGCGGUUUCCAUGGACGUUUCUAAUUCAUGCACUCCUCAUGAUAGCAGUUCCGAUUAUCCGUACAUACGAAGAAUUUCUUGAAAAUAAAUCAUGAUUGGACCUGAUAAAAUUGGUGCCCUUCCAACUGCAAAGACGCAUGCACCAAGGAGACAAUCCCGGAUAAGUCUAUAUGCUUACCCCGUCAUCCGUGAAUAACAAAAACGGGAAACAUGAAAAGUAGAAUUGGGGUUCUUUUCCCUCUCAGAUUGCCGAAACAAUGAGAGAUAAAAAAAUGUGUAAAGGAUGUGAAGAUAAACAUAUUCAAUAAAAAUUCAC